rnacentral:rRNA from 1 species
UACGUAGGUGGCAAGCGUUAUCCGGAUUUAUUGGGCGUAAAGGGAACGCAGGCGGUCUUUUAAGUCUGAUGUGAAAGCCUUCGGCUUAACCGGAGUAGUGCAUUGGAAACUGGGAGACUUGAGUGCAGAAGAGGAGAGUGGAACUCCAUGUGUAGCGGUGAAAUGCGUAGAUAUAUGGAAGAACACCAGUGGCGAACGCGGCUCUCUGGUCUGUAACUGACGCUGAGGUUCGAAAGCGUGGGUAGCAAACAGG